CACGUAGGGGGCAAGCGUUGUCCGGAUUUAUUGGGCGUAAAGAGCUCGUAGGCGGCUCAGUAAGUCGGGUGUGAAACCUCCAGGCUCAACCUGGAGACGCCACCCGAUACUGCUGUGGCUAGAGUCCGGUAGGGGAGCGUGGAAUUCCUGGUGUAGCGGUGAAAUGCGCAGAUAUCAGGAGGAACACCAAUAGCGAAGGCAGCUCGCUGGGACGGUACUGACGCUAAGGCGCGAAAGCGUGGGGAGCAAACAGG
rnacentral:rRNA from 1 species